CUGGUGACCUGGAGUUUUGGAUGGGCAUUGGCUGGAAAAUUUUUCCUUACAGAGAUUGUUUUCUUGUUUCAUAAUAGGAGAAGUUUAACCCUUCUAGGAAAGGACAACUGGGGCCUCGUUUCUCUGAUACUGCCAAUAAUAACAGUUACUGGUUGCUUGUCCAAACAUUCUUUCAACACAAAUGACAUUUUGUACAGCAUAUAUUUUUUUUCCAGAAAUAUUUAAAUUGUUUUCUAAAUGCAGUGGAAAUUUUGAUAUGGAUUUAAUGGUUGUGGAAACAGGCCCUUGAGGGGAAAAUUCAAUAUGUUCUCCUCUGAUUUUCUUUUCAUCUUCUUGCUCUUGUUAUCUUAAUUUCAGUGGAUAUUUCCUGUGCAAGGAUGGAGUUACUGUCCUGUCCUCAGAACCUCUGGUGGCCCUUCCUCUUUUUGACAUGGCUGCAGCCACUCUGCUGUGCCAGCACACAGAGAAGGGAUGUGACACCCUUUUUCCAGAGUGAUAACUGUGGUUUAAAAGAAGCCAGCGCUGCGAGGAGAGCGGAGGGCGGAUCCGAGAUAAGGACCCGUGGGCAGUGAAGCUGCUGAAAUGAUGGUUCAGGCUGGUGCCAGACGUGACAGAGAGCAGGGUCUGAAGCUCAUCUCCACUUGUUCUGAGUGAAACCCUUCAGCCAGAGUGCCAGAGUGAGUUCUCACCUCCGGGGACAGCUGAGUGUGGUCCCCAAAGCUGUCAUCAGGUGUGGCCAGCAGGCCAGGAGAAGGUUUUCAAGGCAUUGCUGGAGGUGCUGGCUCUAAGCACAGGGUAGCACAAGAUGUUUGCUCUGUGCUGCUGCUGCAAGUUAUGUUUAGCCUCUUGGAAAUAUUCCCAGCCCACCAGGAGUCAUUUCUGACUAACAGGCACCCCUUAAUCUGUCUCUAAUCCCCCCCUAUAAUUUUACACCUCUUUAGCCUCAUCCAAAUAAAAAC
rnacentral:lncRNA from 1 species